GACGAACGCUGGCGGCGUGCUUAACACAUGCAAGUCGAACGGAAAGGCCCUGCUUUUGUGGGUUGCUCGAGUGGCGAACGGGUGAGUAACACGUGAGUAACCUGCCCUUGACUUUGGGAUAACUUCAGGAAACUGGGGCUAAUACCGGAUAUGAGCUCCUGCUGCAUGUUGGGGGUUGGAAAGUUUCGGCGGUUGGGGAUGGACUCGCGGCUUAUCAGCUUGUUGGUGGGGUAGUGGCUUACCAAGGCUUUGACGGGUAGCCGGCCUGAGAGGGUGAGCGGCGACAUUGGGACUGAGAGACGGCACAGACUCCUACGGGAGGGAGCAGUGGGGAAUAUUGCAGAAUGGGCGGAAGCCUGAUGCAGCAACGCCGCGUGCGGGAUAACGGGCUUCGGGGUGUAAACCGCUUUCGCAGGAGACGAAGAGUGAGUGACGGUAAUGGGUAAAGAAGCACCGGCUAACUACGUG
rnacentral:rRNA from 1 species